UUGGAGGGCAAGUCUGGUGCCAGCAGCCGCGGUAAUUCCAGCUCCAAUAGCGUAUAUUAAAGUCGUUGCAGCUAAAAAGCUCGUAGUUGAAUUUCGGGGUUAGUAGGUUGGUCAUGCCACUGGUAUGUACUGGUCUCACUGAUUCCUCCUUCCUGAUGAGACGUAAUGCCAUUAAUUUGGUGUUGCGAGGAAUCUGGACUGUUACUUUGAAAAAAUUAGAGUGUUUAAAGCAGGCUAACGCUUGAAUACAUUAGCAUGGAAUAAUGAAAUAGGACGUUCGAUCUUAUUUUGUUGGUUUCUAGGAUUGACGUAAUGAUUAAUAGGGAUAGUUGGGGGCAUUAGUAUUCAAUUGUCAGAGGUGAAAUUCUUGGAUUUAUUGAAGACUAACUACUGCGAAAGCAUUUGCCAAGGAUGUUUUCAUUAAUCAAGAACGAAAGUUAGGGGAUCGAAGACGAUCAGAUACCGUCGUAGUCUUAACCAUAAACUAUGCCGACUUGGGGUCGGAUGAUGUUAAUUUUUUAAUGACACAUUCGGCGCCUUACGGGAAACCAAAGUGUUUGGGUUC
rnacentral:rRNA from 1 species